AUACAAACCAAUCAACAGGUAUUCGAUGUAGAGUGUGAUUGUCAAU
rnacentral:guide_RNA from 1 species